AGUGAACGCUGGCGGUAGGCCUAACACAUGCAAGUCGAACGGCAGCACAGUAAGAGCUUGCUCUUACGGGUGGCGAGUGGCGGACGGGUGAGGAAUACAUCGGAAUCUACUUUUUCGUGGGGGAUAACGUAGGGAAACUUACGCUAAUACCGCAUACGACCUACGGGUGAAAGCAGGGGAUCUUCGGACCUUGCGCGAUUGAAUGAGCCGAUGUCGGAUUAGCUAGUUGGCGGGGUAAAGGCCCACCAAGGCGACGAUCCGUAGCUGGUCUGAGAGGAUGAUCAGCCACACUGGAACUGAGACACGGUCCAGACUCCUACGGGAGGCCGCAGUGGGGAAUAUUGGACAAUGGGCGCAAGCCUGAUCCAGCCAUCCCGCGUGGGUGAAGAAGGCCUUCGGGUUGUAAAGCCCUUUUGUUGGGAAAGAAAAGCAGCAGGUUAAUACCCCGCUGUUCUGACGGUACCCAAAGAAUAAGCACCGGCCAACUUCGUG
rnacentral:rRNA from 1 species